UCCCUGAGAGCUCAGUUGGUAAAGAAUCUGUCUGCAAUGUAGGAGACACUGGUUUGAUUCCUGUUUUGGGAA
rnacentral:tRNA from 1 species